GUCUUGCUGCGGUUCGCGUCGGGGACUUCACAUCCCGGGGACCUUAAUCGACUCUCUUGGGAGCUGUGCCUUUCCGUGGCCGUGGCUGCGGAAAUACGGCGCCCACCUGGCAUGCCAGGUCCGAGUGGAUUGAAACUGUCGCCCACGGUUCUUCGCGGCGCCGCC
rnacentral:other from 2 species